GAUGAACGCUGGCGGCGUGCCUAAUACAUGCCAGUCGAGCGAACAGACGAGGAGCUUGCUCCUCUGACGUUAGCGGCGGACGGGUGAGUAACACGUGGAUAACCUACCUAUAAGACUGGGAUAACUUCGGGAAACCGGAGCUAAUACCGGAUAAUAUAUUGAACCGCAUGGUUCAAUAGUGAAAGACGGUUUUGCUGUCACUUAUAGAUGGAUCCGCGCCGCAUUAGCUAGUUGGUAAGGUAACGGCUUACCAAGGCAACGAUGCGUAGCCGACCUGAGAGGGUGAUCGGCCACACGGGAACUGAGACACGGUCCAGACGCCUACGGGAGGCAGCAGUAGGGAAUCGGCCGCAAUGGGCGAAAGCCUGACGGAGCAACGCCGCGUGAGUGAUGAAGGUCUUCGGAUCGUAAAACUCUGUUAUUAGGGAAGAACAAAUGUGUAAGUAACUAUGCACGUCUUGACGGUACCUAAUCAGAAAGCCACGGCUAACUACGUG
rnacentral:rRNA from 1 species